AUUGAACGCUGGCGGCAGGCCUAACACAUGCAAGUCGAGCGGUAGCACAGAGAGCUUGCUCUCGGGUGACGAGCGGCGGACGGGUGAGUAAUGUCUGGGAAACUGCCUGAUGGAGGGGGAUAACUACUGGAAACGGUAGCUAAUACCGCAUAACGUCGCAAGACCAAAGUGGGGGACCGUUCGGGCCUCAUGCCAUCAGAUGUGCCCAGAUGGGAUUAGCUAGUAGGUGGGGUAAUGGCUCACCUAGGCGACGAUCCCUAGCUGGUCUGAGAGGAUGACCAGCCACACUGGAACUGAGACACGGUCCAGACUCCUACGGGAGGCAGCAGUGGGGAACUAUUGCACAAUGGGCGCAAGCCUGAUGCAGCCAUGCCGCGUGUAUGAAGAAGGCC
rnacentral:rRNA from 1 species